rnacentral:rRNA from 1 species
GGUUAAGUUAGAAAGGGCGCACGGUGGAUGCCUUGGCACUAGGAGCCGAAGAAGGACGGGACUAACACCGAUAUGCUUUGGGGAGCUGUACGUAAGCGUUGAUCCAGAGAUUUCCGAAUGGGGGAACCCACUAUCUUUAGUCGGAUAGUAUCCUUACGUGAAUACAUAGCGUGAGGAAGGCAGACCCAGGGAACUGAAACAUCUAAGUACCUGGAGGAAGAGAAAGAAAAAUCGAUUUCCUGAGUAGCGGCGAGCGAAACGGAAAGAGCCCAAACCAAGAAGCUUGCUUCUUGGGGUUGUAGGACACUCUAUACGGAGUUACAAAAGAAAGUUAUAAAUGAAGCGGUCUGGAAAGGCCCGCCAAAGACGGUAACAGCCCGGUAGUUGAAAUGGCUUUCCCUCCAGAGUGGAUCCUGAGUACGGCGGAACACGUGAAAUUCCGUCGGAAUCCGGGAGGACCAUCUCCCAAGGCUAAAUACUCCCUAGUGACCGAUAGUGAACCAGUACCGUGAGGGAAAGGUGAAAAGCACCCCGGAAGGGGAGUGAAACAGUUCCUGAAACCGUGUGCCUACAAGUAGUUAGAGCCCGUUAAUGGGUGAUAGCGUGCCUUUUGUAGAAUGAACCGGCGAGUUACGAUUUGUUGCAAGGUUAAGCGGAAAAAGCGGAGCCGUAGCGAAAGCGAGUCUGAAUAGGGCGCAUAAGUAACAGGUCGUAGACCCGAAACCAGGUGAUCUACCCAUGUCCAGGAUGAAGGUAAGGUAAUACUUACUGGAGGUCCGAACCCACGCACGUUGAAAAGUGCGGGGAUGAGGUGUGGGUAGCGGAGAAAUUCCAAUCGAACUUGGAGAUAGCUGGUUCUCUCCGAAAUAGCUUUAGGGCUAGCCUCGAGGUAAAGAGUCAUGGAGGUAGAGCACUGUUUGGACUAGGGGCCCUUCUCGGGUUACCGAAUUCAGAUAAACUCCGAAUGCCAUGUACUUAUACUCGGGAGUCAGACUGCGAGUGAUAAGAUCCGUAGUCGAAAGGGAAACAGCCCAGACCACCAGUUAAGGUCCCCAAAUAUAUGUUAAGUGGAAAAGGAUGUGGGGUUGCUUAGACAACCAGGAUGUUGGCUUAGAAGCAGCCACCAUUGAAAGAGUGCGUAAUAGCUCACUGGUCGAGUGACCCCGCGCCGAAAAUGUACCGGGGCUAAACAUAUUACCGAAACUGUGGAUGAACCUCUUUAGAGGUUCGUGGUAGGAGAGCGUUCUAAGGGCGGUGAAGUCAGACCGGAAGGACUGGUGGAGCGCUUAGAAGUGAGAAUGCCGGUAUGAGUAGCGAAAGAAGGGUGAGAAUCCCUUCCACCGAAUAUCUAAGGUUUCCUGAGGAAGGCUCGUCCGCUCAGGGUUAGUCGGGACCUAAGCCGAGGCCGAUAGGCGUAGGCGAUGGACAACAGGUAGAGAUUCCUGUACCAGUGCUAAUUGUUUAACCGAUGGGGUGACACAGAAGGAUAGGGAAUCGCACGAAUGGAAAUGUGCGUCCAAGCAGUGAGUGUGAGAAGUAGGCAAAUCCGCUUCUCGCGAAGCAUGAGCUGUGAUGGGGAAGGAAAUUAAGUACGGAAGUUCCUGAUUUCACGCUGUCAAGAAAAGCCUCUAGGAAGAGUAGUACUGCCCGUACCGCAAACCGACACAGGUAGAUGAGGAGAGAAUCCUAAGGUGAGCGAGAGAACUCUCGUUAAGGAACUCGGCAAAAUGACCCCGUAACUUCGGGAGAAGGGGUGCUCUAUUAGGGUGCAAGCCCGAGAGAGCCGCAGUGAAUAGGCCCAGGCGACUGUUUAGCAAAAACACAGGUCUCUGCAAAACCGUAAGGUGACGUAUAGGGGCUGACGCCUGCCCGGUGCUGGAAGGUUAAGAGGAGUGCUUAGCUUCGGCGAAGGUACG